GAACCAGGUCUUCGGGUCUGAAGGACUUUGGCCUAACUUUAGUGUUGUAGUAUCGGGCCACUCUUUGUCGGUAGGAAGUCAUGUGGAGUUGAGCCUUGCGUCGGAGCUCGGGUAGGAGGUCCAAGUCAACUCUCCGACACUCGGAGUUGUCCAGUUCACGAUAUUGCUCAGCUCUAGUCGAUGGUAACCCGAUCUCUAGUGAGAUCAUUGCCUCCAUCCCAUAGGCCAGGUUGAAAGGAGAUUCCCCAGUCGGGACCCGGAGUGUUGUUCGGUAUGCCCAC
rnacentral:lncRNA from 1 species